AACGAACGCUGGCGGCAUGCCUAACACAUGCAAGUCGAACGAGACCUUCGGGUCUAGUGGCGCACGGGUGCGUAACGCGUGGGAACCUGCCCUUAGGUUCGGAAUAACUCCCCGAAAGGGGUGCUAAUACCGGAUAAUAUCUUCGGACCAAAGAUUUAUCGCCUUUGGAUGGGCCCGCGUUGGAUUAGCUAGUUGGUAGGGUAAAAGCCUACCAAGGCGACGAUCCAUAGCUGGUCUGAGAGGAUGAUCAGCCACACUGGGACUGAGACACGGCCCAGACUCCUACGGGAGGCAGCAGUGGGGAAUAUUGGACAAUGGGCGAAAGCCUGAUCCAGCAAUGCCGCGUGAGUGAUGAAGGCCUUAGGGUUGUAAAGCUCUUUUACCCGGGAUGAUAAUGACAGUACCGGGAGAAUAAGCUCCGGCCAACUCCGUG
rnacentral:rRNA from 1 species